GUGUCAGCCGCCGCGGUAACACGGGGGGAGCAAGCGUUGUUCGGAAUUACUGGGCGUAAAGGGCGUGUAGGCGGUCUGGUAAGUGGGAUGUGAAAUGCCCCGGCUCACCCGGGGACCUGCAUCCCAAACUACCUGGCUUGAGUAUGGGAGAGGAUGAGGGAAUUCCUGGUGUAGCGGUGAAAUGCGUAGAUAUCAGGAGGAACACCGGUGGCGAAAGCGCUCAUCUGGCCCAAUACUGACGCUGAGGCGCGAAAGCUAGGGGAGCAAACGGGAUUAGAUACCCCCGUAGUCC
rnacentral:rRNA from 1 species